rnacentral:lncRNA from 1 species
CUUUUUCCUGUAAAUGAGCUAACAAAUGUGAUUAGGAAAGUUUCAGGUAUAAAUGAUGCAAAAUACAGCAAUUUAUGGCUUACUUGACGCAAAAGAAAGCUCACAAACGAGAUGGAAAGGAGCUGGACGCAUAAAGGACUAAAUCUGCUGCAUGGAAAAUCUGUCCCGGGCUAAAACAGCAUUUCUGAAGACUUUGGGACUUACAGACACAAAGCUGGAUUUUUGCCAUAAUACAUUAACCUAGUGCAAUUAGGUUAUGUGUUUCAUCAUUCUAUUUGGAUUAUAAUUUUGUAACCUUACCCUAGUACAAUUGGGUCAAGGAUUUCAUUAGUAUAUUAGGAUUUGGUUAUUUAUUUUAUUAGUUUAGUAGGAGUAGGAUAGGAGUAUUAUAAAUACCCUAUCAUGUUAGAGAUUUUAAAAGGGGAGGGAGACAUUCUGACAAUUCAUUCAUCUCCUUACAAUUAAGACAUCUUCCUACAACCCAUUCUCAAUUCUUCAUUCUUCUACUCUUAAAUUCCACAACAAGAGAAUCGUUACUUGCUACGGAAUCACUAAAACCACACGCCAAACACCUACUAUUCACACCAUCCACCAUGCAAAGCGUGAUAUCCUUCGCAUUCAUGGGUAACUAAAUCUCUUAGUUGGGGUUAUGGAAGCCGAAUGAGUUACUAUCUAUAGCUAUGAGUUUGUGAGUUCAAGACAAGUAUAUUGCUUAUAUCAUUAUUCUCUUCAUCUUAAAUCUACAUUCUUU